rnacentral:rRNA from 1 species
CCUACGGGGGGCAGCAGUAGGGAAUAUUGGGCAAUGGGCGCAAGCCUGACCCAGCCAUGCCGCGUGCAGGACGAAGGCCCUCUGGGUUGUAAACUGCUUUUGCAGGAGAAGAACAUGUGGUUUGCGAACCAUACUGACGGUAUUCUGCGAAUCAGCCACGGCUAACUACGUGCCAGCAGCCGCGGUAAUACGUAGGUGGCAAGCGUUGUCCGGAUUUAUUGGGUUUAAAGGGUGCGUAGGCGGAUGCUUAAGUCAGGGGUGAAAGACGGCCGCUC